rnacentral:rRNA from 1 species
GUCCAUGCCGUAAACGUUGUGUGCUUGGUCUGAGUGGAUUCAACCCCAUUUGGAUCGGAGUUAACAUGUUAAGCACACCGCCUGGGGACUACGGUCGCAAGACUAAAACUCAAAGGAAUUGACGGGGGCCCGCACAAGCGGUGGAGUAUGUGGCUUAAUUCGAGGCAACGCGAAGAACCUUACCUGGGUUUGACAUAUACAUGACGUACUGAGAAAUCAGUAUUCCCGCGAGGGCAUGUAAACAGGUGCUGCAUGGCUGUCGU